rnacentral:tRNA from 1 species
AGGAUAAUAGUUAAAAUCUAUAACAUUUAAUUUGCUUUUAAAAAUUAUUAUAUAAUUUAUCUUA